rnacentral:rRNA from 1 species
GACGAACGCUGGCGGCGUGCUUAACACAUGCAAGUCGAACGGAAAGGCCCUGCUCUUGUGGGGUGCUCGAGUGGCGAACGGGUGAGUAACACGUGAGUAACCUGCCCUUGACUUUGGGAUAACUUCAGGAAACUGGGGCUAAUAUCGGAUAGGAGCUCCUGCUGCAUGGCGGGGGUUGGAAAGUUUCGGCGGUCGGGGAUGGACUCGCGGCUUAUCAGCUUGUUGGUGGGGUAGUGGCUUACCAAGGCUUUGACGGGUAGCUGGCCUGAGAGGGUGACCGGCGACAUUGAGACUGAAAUACGGCCCAAACUCCUACGGGAGGCAGCAGUGGCGAAUAUUGCACAAUGGGCGGAAGCCUGAUGCAGCAACGCCGCGUGCGGGAUGACGGCCUUCGGGUUGUAAACCGCUUUCGCCUGUGGCGAAGCGUGAGUGACGGUAAUGGGUAAAGAAGCACCGGCUAACUACGUG